UGCUAAUACAUGCAAGUCGAGCGAAUGGAUUAAGAGCUUGCUCUUAUGAAGUUAGCGGCGGACGGGUGAGUAACACGUGGGUAACCUGCCCAUAAGACUGGGAUAACUCCGGGAAACCGGGGCUAAUACCGGAUAACAUUUUGAACCGCAUGGUUCGAAAUUGAAAGGCGGCUUCGGCUGUCACUUAUGGAUGGACCCGCGUCGCAUUAGCUAGUUGGUGAGGUAACGGCUCACCAAGGCAACGAUGCGUAGCCGACCUGAGAGGGUGAUCGGCCACACUGGGACUGAGACACGGCCCAGACUCCUACGGGAGGCAGCAGUAGGGAAUCUUCCGCAAUGGACGAAAGUCUGACGGAGCAACGCCGCGUGAGUGAUGAAGGCUUUCGGGUCGUAAAACUCUGUUGUUAGGGAAGAACAAGUGCUAGUUGAAUAAGCUGGCACCUUGACGGUACCUAACCAGAAAGCCACGGCUAACUACGUGCCAGCAGCCGCGGGGUAAU
rnacentral:rRNA from 1 species